GACGGAGGGUGCUAGCGUUGUUCGGAAUCACUGGGCGUAAAGGGCGCGUAGGCGGCGCGUUGCGUCGGAGGUGAAAGCCCGGGGCUCAACCCCGGAAGGUCCUCCGAUACGGGCGUGCUGGAGGCCGGGAGAGGAGAGCGGAAUACCCAGUGUAGAGGUGAAAUUCGUAGAUAUUGGGCGGAACACCGGUGGCGAAGGCGGCUCUCUGGUCCGGACCUGACGCUGAGGCGCGAAAGCGUGGGGAGCAAACAGG
rnacentral:rRNA from 1 species